GAUGAAGAACGUAGCGAAAUGCGAUAAGUAGUGUGAAUUGCAGAAUUCAGUGAAUCAUCGAAUCUUUGAACGCACAUUGCGCCCCUUGGUAUUCCAUGGGGCAUGCCUGUUCUAGCGUCAUUUGUACCUUCAAGCUUUGCUUGGUGUUGGGUGUUUGUCUCGCCUUUGCGUGUAGACUCGCCUUAAAAUAAUUGGCAGCCGGCGUAUUGAUUUCGGAGCGCAGUACAUCUCGCGCUUUGCACUCAUAACGACAGCGUCCAAAAGUACAUUUUACACUCUUGACCUCGGAUCAGGUAGGGAUACCCGCUGAACUUAAGCAUAUCAAUAAGAGGAGGA
rnacentral:misc_RNA from 1 species